AGCGGCGGAAGGGAGAGUAAUACGUGGGAAUCUGCCCUUAGACCUGGGAUAGCAGCGGGAAACUGCUGGUAAUACCGGAUAAUGUCUAUGGACCAAAGGUGUGAUUCCGUCUAGGGAUGAGCCCACGUCCUAUUAGCUAGUUGGUAGGGUAAUGGCCUACCAAGGCGAUGAUGGGUAGCGGGUGUGAGAGCAUGACCCGCCUCACUGGGACUGAGACACUGCCCAGACACCUACGGGUGGCUGCAGUCGAGAAUCUUCGGCAAUGGGCGCAAGCCUGACCGAGCAAUGCCGCGUGCGGGAUGAAGGCCUUCGGGUUGUAAACCGCUGUCGAGGGGGAGCAACUUCCAUAGAGUUAUCUUUGUGGAUUGAGUGAUCCCUGGAGGAAGGACGGGCUAAGUUCGUGCCAGCAGCCGCGGUAAGACGAACCGUCCAAACGUUAUUCGGUAUCACUGGGCUUAAAGAGUUCGUAGGCGGCUAAACAGGUGAGGUGUGAAAGCCCUCGGCUCAACCGAGGAACUGCGCUUCAAACCGUUUAGCUAGAGGAAGACAGAGGUGAGCGGAACUGAUGGUGGAGCGGUGAAAUGCGUUGAUAUCAUCAGGAACACCGGUGGCGAAAGCGGCUCACUGGGUCUUUUCUGACGCUGAGGAACGAAAGCUAGGGGAGCGAACGGGAUUAGAUACCCCGGUAGUCNUAGCNGUAAACGAUGAGCACU
rnacentral:rRNA from 1 species